rnacentral:rRNA from 1 species
UACAGGGGGUGCAAACGUUGCUCGGAAUCAUUGGGCGUAAAGCGCACGUAGGCGGUUCGUUAUGUCGGAUGUGAAAGCCCUUGGCUUAACCGAGGAAGUGCAUCCGGAACUGGCGAGCUAGAGUACUAAAGAGGAUCGCGGAAUUCCCGGUGUAGAGGUGAAAUUCGUAGAUAUCGGGAGGAACACCGGUGGCGAAGGCGGCGACCUGGUCCGAUACUGACGCUGAGGCGCGAAAGCGUGGGGAGCAAACAGG